rnacentral:rRNA from 1 species
AUUGAACGCUGGCGGCAGGCCUAACACAUGCAAGUCGAGCGAGCGGCGGACGGGUGAGAAAUGUCUGGGAAACUGCCCGAUGGAGGGGGGUAACUACUGGAGACGGUAGCUAAUACCGCAUACCAUCAGAUGUGCCCCGAUGGGAUUAGCUCGUGGGUGGGGUAAUGGCUCACCUCGGCGACGAUCCCUAGCUGGUCUGAGAGGAGAACCAGCCACACUGGAACUGAGACACGGUCCAGACUCCUACGGGAGGCAGCAGUGGGGAAUAUUGCACAAUGGGCGCAAGCCUGAUGCAGCCAUGCCGCGUGUAUGAAGAAGGCCUUCGGGUUGUAAAGCACUUUCAGCGAGGAGGCGUUACUCGCAGAAGAAGCACCGGCUAACUCCGUGCCAGCAGCCGCGGUAAUAC